rnacentral:rRNA from 1 species
GAGGGCACUAGUGAUUCAGGCCUAACACAUGCAAGUCGAGCGGUAGAGAGAAGCUUGCUUCUCUUGAGAGCGGCGGACGGGUGAGUAAUGCCUAGGAAUCUGCCUGGUAGUGGGGGAUAACGUUCGGAAACGGACGCUAAUGCCGCAUACGUCCUACGGGAGAGAGCAGGGGACCUUCGGGCCUUGCGCUAUCAGAUGAGCCUAGGUCGGAUUAGCUAGUUGGUGAGGUAAUGGCUCACCAAGGCGACGAUCCGUAACUGGUCUGAGAGGGUGAUCAGUCACACUGGAACUGAGACACGGGCCAGACUCCUACGGGAGGCAGCAGUGGGGAAUAUUGGACAAUGGGCGAAAG